ACAGCCAAAGAGCUCUGCAAGGUGAAUAUGACACAUAGAUUGGCUAAAGUGUGGGUCUCAUGAGCUCCUGAAACAAAAAAUGGAACCACAUCCAAACCCCAUACCUGAAAGAAGUAGAUUCCCUACGUGUUCCAAAAUUGGGGGCAAUUGCCUGAAAAGGGGGAAAUGGAAGCUGGAGAGGUAAGGAACUAAUGUUCAUGACAAACAAGAUCGUGUUCUUCCAGAAGAUUAGCCACUGCAUCACCCAGCAGAAACAUUCCAUUUGAUGGGAAAGUGGCCUGUUACCAUUUUCAGAUUGGGGUAACUGCUCACAUAGGAUGCCAUCUUUAUCAAGAGAGCAAAUCAUUUUGUACAAAAAGGCAAUGCAUUCCUCUUAGUGGCUUUUCUUUUCUUCUGUUAUUUUCUGAGAGAUUCUGAAAAAAAAUCUAAAUGCUAAAAGUAAUGCAACCAAUUAAUUCCCCUUGGGCAUAUACUAUGUGUCCAUUUAUAUAGAUUAUUUCCUUCAAUUAUCUCAGUACAGUAUGCAGGAACUAUCAUUAUUAUUAUUCAGUUUUAUAGAUGUGCAAACUGAGGCUAAAGAGGUUAAAUUGCCCAAGGGUCACACAACUAGGAAAUAGUGGAAUUUGGAAUCAAGUGGAGACACUAGGACUCCAUAGCCUCAUUUCCUUUUUGCUCUCUUCUAAUUUCUAUUUGGUAAGAAAAAAAAUUGCCAUCAGACUCCCCAUUUUUUCCAAUACUUUGUUUGCUAUUAUGUCUGAUGUUCAGAAAAAAUAUUCGGAUGGUUUCUACCUUUUUUACUCCUAGACAUUUUGGGGUUAUGGAAACCAUGCCUCAUGCUGUAGGGAACACUUGUCUUAUUUGAACUGUAAAUGAAGUGCUAGCUCAAGUCAG
rnacentral:lncRNA from 10 species